GAUGAACGCUGGCGGCGUGCCUAAUACAUGCAAGUCGAGCGAACAGACGAGGAGCUUGCUCCUCUGACGUUAGCGGCGGACGGGUGAGUAACACGUGGAUAACCUACCUAUAAGACUGGGAUAACUUCGAGAAACCGGAGCUAAUACCGGAUAAUAUAUUGAACCGCAUGGUUCAAUAGUGAAAGACGGUUUUGCUGUCACUUAUAGAUGGAUCCGCGCCGCAUUAGCUAGUUGGUAAGGUAACGGCUUACCAAGGCAACGAUGCGUAGCCGACCUGAGAGGGUGAUCGGCCACACUGGAACUGAGACACGGUCCAGACUCCUACGGGAGGCAGCAGUAGGGAAUCUUCCGCAAUGGGCGAAAGCCUGACGGAGCAACGCCGCGUGAGUGAUGAAGGUCUUCGGAUCGUAAAACUCUGUUAUUAGGGAAGAACAAAUGUGUAAGUAACUAUGCACGUCUUGACGGUACCUAAUCAGAAAGCCACGGCUAACUACGU
rnacentral:rRNA from 1 species